rnacentral:sRNA from 1 species
UGAUUUAGUGUCCUUGUAUGGUAUGGUC